UGAGGAAUAUUGGUCAAUGGGCGAGAGCCUGAACCAGCCAAGUAGCGUGCAGGAUGACGGCCCUAUGGGUUGUAAACUGCUUUUAUAUGGGAAUAAAGUGAGGGACGUGUCCCUUAUUGCAUGUACCAUAUGAAUAAGGACCGGCUAAUUCCGUGCCAGCAGCCGCGGUAAUACGGAAGGUCCAGGCGUUAUCCGGAUUUAUUGGGUUUAAAGGGAGCGUAGGCUGUUUGUUAAGCGUGUUGUGAAAUGUAGGAGCUCAACUUCUAGAUUGCAGCGCGAACUGUCAGACUUGAGUGCGCACAACGUAGGCGGAAUUCAUGGUGUAGCGGUGGAAUGCUUAGAUAUCAUGAAGAACUCCGAUUGCGAAGGCAGCUUACGGGAGCGCAACUGACGCUGAAGCUCGAAGGUGCGGGUAUCGAACAGG
rnacentral:rRNA from 1 species